UGGAUGAGGAUGAAGCAUUAGUAAUAAAUCCAACACUUGAUCUGAGAGAGAUUUAUCUCCUGGUGAUGUGUCAUCGUUUUGCUUCUGAAUCCUA
rnacentral:snoRNA from 1 species